ensembl:lncRNA
CCUGAUCGUCCUGCAGCAUCUUCACUAAAGUCUCCACUGCUUACUAUGACUCUGUUUUCUUACAGGGCUUUUCUGGAGUGAGGGAGCAGACUGAGGGAAGAACCAGAAGGCUGCCAAAAUACAAUUGUGUGCCUUUAAAGGAAAUAACAACAAGAAUUAGGAGCGCCCUGGAGGCAAGCACAGGUUGCAUACGUCGGGAAAAUGUAUGCACUUAAUUGUCACGGGUCAAGAAACUUAGCUGAUGGAGGUGAGAUGAUGAAGUGCUCUAAGAAGAUCACUCAGAAGAAAAGGAUGUGGACUAAUAUGAAAAGGAAGAUUUCCUACCUAGGAAACAGGAGAUCAGAGGAUAGAACAAGAAUCAGAGAACAGGUCUGCUUCUGGGGAAACAAAACCUCAGUAAUUUCAGAAAUAUAUACUUGGAGUAUGUCAUGUAUUAAUGGGUAAAGACGCCAUGGAUAUGAAGGAGAUUACCUAUGGAAGAAUAUUAAAAAGAGAAGAAGGUAAAGAAUCUUCUUUGAGGAACAUCCACAUUUAAAGGUCAUGGAGAAGAUAUAUCAGCAGGAGCAUCAGAGGGAGUUGUGGACAAAAUAUUUUCAAAAAUUAAGAUGUGAAGACCACUAGAAUUUGCUUAAAUGCUGUUGGAAAAAGAUAUCAUAGCAAACAGGAGUGUGAAAAUAUAGGUAAGUGAAAAGAGGAGUAUUCCCAAGGGAGUAAGAUAAAAUUGAAUCCAGGUCCUGAAUGCUGGGAUAAACUUUGCAAAAUAUUUGGUAGAUUGGGUCAUAGAAAACAGAGGAAGUUCUUCUAUGAUAUUUGGAUAAUUCUACAUUUGGAAAGAACAAGAUAAUGGAUUGUCUUUCUUCCUACUUUUACCUUACUGUUUGAGUACUGGCAUGAACAAAACUCAGAACAUAAUGAAUCUCACUUAUUUCCAAGUGGGCUACUCCAUUAUUUAAAAAAACACAUCACAUGGACAUGGAGUUUGAGGAGAUUUAUUCUAUUUAAUAUUAAAUUAGGCUUCCUUCCUCUAUUCAUCAAAUUGAACUGGAUAGAAUAGGAGUCCCUAAUCCAGCACCUCCAACUGGAGAAACAGUCUACUGAUUCUCACAGAUCUCAUGUCUUGCUUUGUGUAGAUAAUUUUCAUAUGGAUUAUAAUGAAUAAUAUUAAUUUAAAUAAUUCCCUAGAAGCCUAAAACAUUUUGUUUGAAGCUCUUCUUUGUCCAACUAAAAAUAACAUCUGGUCUACAAGGCUACCAUCAUAAUUGAGUUCUACAUCUCCAGUCACAACUAGAACCAAAAUUACAGUGAACAUAAAAUAAUUCUUUAUCUCUUGGUUCCAGAUUUUUCUGAGUUAUUUAUACCUCUCUAUUAUGGUCUCAUGUUCCUUUCUGUUACAGAGUUUCAGCCUAUGUUGAGUCAAGCAAUUAUAGGGCUGCUUAAACUCUGGUUCAUUAGCCAUGGUCCACUAGCAUCCAUGUCAUGGCGCUAGGGUUUAAUAUGGUUAAUAGGAUCCUGGAUGAGGAAGUAUAUUGAAAAUUAACUUUAAAUUAAACAUAAACACUAAAAAUUAUUAGAAGCAUUAAAAAAUAAAUUUUUCCUUAUAUGGGUUAGAAAAUCUGAC